GUUGAAGUAUUUUAUUAUAAAAUUUCAUAUUGUGGUUGUGAAGAAACAAAAUUUUUUGUCUUUAACA
rnacentral:tRNA from 1 species